rnacentral:rRNA from 1 species
GACGAACGCUGGCGGCGUGCUUAACACAUGCAAGUCGAACGGAAAGGCCCUGCUUUUGUGGGGUGCUCGAGUGGCGAACGGGUGAGUAACACGUGAGUAACCUGCCCUUGACUUUGGGAUAACUUCAGGAAACUGGGGCUAAUACCGGAUAGGAGCUCCUGCUGCAUGGUGGGGGUUGGAAAGUUUCGGCGGUUGGGGAUGGACUCGCGGCUUAUCAGCUUGUUGGUGGGGUAGUGGCUUACCAAGGCUUUGACGGGUAGCCGGCCUGAGAGGGUGCCCGGCUACACUGGGACUGAGAUACGGCACAGACUCCUACGGGAGGCAGCAGUGGGGAAUAUUGCACAAUGGGCGGAAGCCUGAUGCAGCAACGCCGCGUGCGGGAUGACGGCCUUCGGGUUGUAAACCGCUUUCGCCUGUGACGAAGCGUGAGUGACGGUAAUGGGUAAAGAAGCACCGGCUAACUACGUG